GAUGAAGAACGCAGCGAAAUGCGAUAACUAAUGUGAAUUGCAGAAUUCCGUGAAUCAUCGAAUCUUUGAACGCACAUUGCGCCCCUUGGUAUUCCAUGGGGCAUGCCUGUUCGAGCGUCAUUUGUACCUUCAAGCUCUGCUUGGUGUUGGGUGUUUGUCUCGCCUCUGCGUGUAGACUCGCCUCAAAAUAAUUGGCAGCCGGCGUAUUGAUUUCGGAGCGCAGUACAUCUCGCGCUUUGCACUCAUAACGACGACGUCCAAAAGUACAUUUUUACACUCUUGACCUCGGAUCAGGUAGGGAUACCCGCUGAACUUAAGCAUAUCAAUAAGCGGAGGA
rnacentral:misc_RNA from 1 species